CUGCGCCAACGGUUUGUCAACUUGAGGGUUUUUUUUUAAGUUGAAAGGUCCUUACAGUCAAUGGCGCGCUGCGCGGAGGAAUUUCACCUCGCUGGUUGGUGUCUGGCCGACUUGAAUUGCUCCCUACGCGGACAACAAAUUUUAUGGACUGAUGAGAGCAAGAUAAACUUCAACCAAAGUGAUGGAAAAGCCAAACUAUGGAGUAAAAAAGUAUCCAAAAACACACAAGCUCAUCCAGAAGAGGAGACUGACAUGGUACCCCUACUCCCAGAAAUGAACAAGAACUGAAAGAGACUGCAGUAAAGGCCUGGAAAAGCAUUUCAAAUGAAGAAUGCAACAGUCUGGUGAAGUCAAUGAGUUUCAAGCUUGAUGCAGUUUUUGCAAAUAAUGGUUAUGCCACCAAAUAUGAAAUGUGACUCACCUAAGUUCAUUUAAUAAUGAUUGAUCCACUACUUUUGCUCACUUAGGUGCCGUAAAAUAAAUGUUGCAGUAUCCUGAGUUGGUUUAACACAUCUCUCAUUCAUUUGUGGCAUUACACAGCCCCACACUGCAGUUUAAAUUACAUUAAAAGUGCAUUCAUCGUAAAACCUUAAUUGGCUGUAACUUUCAACAUCCAUUAUAGUGACACUGCUAAAACAAGUUAAACACUGUAUGGUCUGUGAAUGUCUUUUGUUAAAGUUACAGCGGUUGUAAAAGUGCUUAAGAUGUAUUGUAUUGCAUGAUGGAACUAAGAGAAAGACAAACUAUUCUGACGUUGCAGCCGCCAAAGCAGAAAAAAAGAACAGGACGGCGUUUGCAGGGCUGCCACCUAGUGUUGUUUUCACAGUCAUCCUGGAAGUUAAUCAGUGUCACCAAAUUGUGUAGUUUUACACUGGAGGAGUUAAUAACGCAAGCAUGUAAGGGGAAUUAAUCAGGAAUAUUUGCCACAUUCAGUCUGGUCUGGAAGGUGUGUUGUGCGACUGGAAAUCAAGAGUAAAAGCAAAUAACACCUCAAUCACAAACAUGGACAGAAGCAUCAGCAUGAAUGAAUGACAGUUUUAUUCAAAGGUUCUUAGUUUGAAAAACAAAAGGUUCAUUGGGGCAUUUAGUACAAGACACUUUGCAGUCUAUGAUUGACAUGAUAUGAAUUAUUUUCUUGGGACUGAGAGAGGUAGCUGGAGUAUGUGGAGAGCACCCAUCAUAAGAUGUGCACACACGUGCAACUGUCUUUUUUUUCCUCUGAUACAUCCUCGCCCAAAUAUUUUUUCCCCCCAAUUGAGCUAUACAAACUCAAAAACGAUUGAGAUUAAGAAAUGUUUUUUUUUUAAAUAUCAUGGGUGUGGAGACAGUUUAUAACUAACUGUACACACACUUCUGGUGCAUUUUU